UGCAAUGAUGUCGUAAUUUGCGUCCUACCUAACAUUAUGCGACAGUUGCCUGCUGUCAUUAUGCUGGUGUGAAUGUGUGACGAAAAUAUUUAACUGAGCA